GAGGAAUGCGCGCUCUGAGGGCUGCUGGCAGUGGCAGCCAUUUUGUGACUCCAGUGUGGCUUUGGUGCCAUGAAGUGUUUAGCUGAGGUAGCUUGGUCACCACCGCGGCCAUCUUGCAGGAUUUAGUCAAAUUACAGAAGUUUUAAAGGUGUUAUACGUACCAACAAUUCUACACAUGAAGUCAUGAGACACAAUGAUCACUGUCUUCCUACUUUUCCUGUGAACCUCAUCUAAAGGACACAAUGAGAAGUGUAGCUCACAGCCAGGAUGCCUUUGACUUCCUCAGCCACCACUUCAUAUCAGAAAAUCUUAAGAAUCAGGAAAAGUUUGCUCACUACUCAGUCUGCUUGACAUCUAAAGGAUGUGAUAUGGGACAGUUACAAAUGAACCUUUGGCUUAAGCAGAGACAUCAGGCAGAGUGAGAAGGACCAUCUGUCAUGUCCCCACUCUCACUGUACUGAAGAAGGCAGUCGCUGAAGGCAGUACUUCAGCUAUCAACCAACUCCCAGGCCUCUGAGCUCCUCAUAAGAAACUCUGAACUGCUGGUGUGUUGAGGUAAGUUAGUAUUACUCUCACAAUCACAUUCAGCUGCCAUUGAAAACUGUAUUUUCAGGUAAAUCUGAGAUUUUGAAAAAUAAACAAGAAGUUAAACAAAAGUCUUCCUUCUUGCUGACAUGUAAGAAUGGACAAAUUCCAUUUCAGUUGCUCUCGGAAGGGUUUUGAUUGCCUUUUGUAUAGCUCACUUUGACUCACUUUUUUCUUUUUCUCACAAAUCCAUGUUUUCACAUAGACAACACUAUAAACCAUAGUCAUAUUGGUAACAUUACCCCAAAGACCCAUUUAUAUUUACUUAAUUUUAACAGAAUAUCUAUGAAUGAGAUCACUCAUUUCAGUGAAUAUUAUUUAUCCAUUCACAAACAGAAUCUUGUAUUAAUCAUGCUUGUACCUGGUUUUACAGUUUUUUUGACUAAUUUUUUUCAAUUCUUAGAAGUUUCUUAAAGUUAAGAUAUAUGUAAUUGAUAUCUUUUAAUUCUGCUAAUUGAGACUAACAAACACAAAACUUUAUUAAUUAUCUAAUAUCACAUGGACUGCAUCAGACCUUUUAUGGUCUACUGUCAUAUACUCAUCAUUCAGCCAAAACUAUUAAAAUGAGGGAUACCUUUUUAAUGCUAUUAACCUGAACAUAAUGCCAAGACCUUGUGGAUGAAAAUGACAACAAAAAAGCUUUAAACAAAUAGAAGGAACCAAAAACACAAAUUUUCUUGCUACUGACAUAAAAGUCCACAAACUGUAGGUAAUGAGAUAGGAAGAAUGAGUAGAAAUACGAUUACACAGGAGAUGGGAGAACAAACGUGUGAAGGAUUUCCCAGCCAGUUUCUUGUAAAUCACACCUCAAAAGAUCCAAGGAUUUGUCAGCACUUACUUUAUGUCAGUAGCAAACUUUGUGGAAAUAACAGUGUUCUAAUUCAGCACAGAAAAAUCAUCCAUUUGUUAUGUUGACAUCCCUUGGAUAACACAGCUGCUUGAUUACCUAUGCCAUCUUUUCCCCAGCUUCUUAGUAGAAAACUAUUAAAGCAAUAACAGUCUCUGACAUACACAGUUCUUGAGUGUGUUCGGUGUGUGAAUCAUAACGCAUCUGAACAAUACUCCCAGCUGGUGCAAAUGUACGGACAAGCACUGUCCUGUAGUAGCUGACCUGUUCAGCUUUAUGCUUUAGAAGACUGCUGCUGCUGCUUUUGUCUUCUCUAUUUGCAUUUCUCAUGUUUCAAGGAAAUAUAUUCACGUCUCAGAAAUUCAUUAAUAACUUAUGUUAGCAUCUUAAACUGAGCUAACUGUUGACAAUAUACUCUAUGCUAAAAUUUCUCAAGCAUCUCUUUAUGUGCAUUAUUUCAGUAGGGUUUUUGUUGUUGCUGUUGUUUUGUUUUUUGUUUUUUUAAAACAAGUUUUACAUUAUAAUCUGAUCCUCUUCUUGGAAGACAAGAUGUUUUUUAAAAAGAGCUUAUUCAGCAGGUCAGCUAUUCUAGAAGUUCAUCCAUUCUUCAU